rnacentral:rRNA from 1 species
UCCGUUAAUUGAUUAUGACGUACUUGUACUGAUUGAGAUUUUAACACGAAGUGAGUGGCGAACGGGUGAGUAACACGUGGGUAACCUGCCCAGAAGUAGGGGAUAACACCUGGAAACAGAUGCUAAUACCGUAUAACAGAGAAAACCGCAUGGUUUUCUUUUAAAAGAUGGCUCUGCUAUCACUUCUGGAUGGACCCGCGGCGUAUUAGCUAGUUGGUGAGGUAAAGGCUCACCAAGGCAGUGAUACGUAGCCGACCUGAGAGGGUAAUCGGCCACAUUGGGACUGAGACACGGCCCAGACUCCUACGGGAGGCAGCAGUAGGGAAUCUUCCACAAUGGACGCAAGUCUGAUGGAGCAACGCCGCGUGAGUGAAGAAGGGUUUCGGCUCGUAAAGCUCUGUUGUUAAAGAAGAACGUGGGUAAGAGUAACUGUUUACCCAGUGACGGUAUUUAACCAGAAAGCCACGGCUAACUACGUGCCAGCAGCCGCGGUAAUACGUAGGUGGCAAGCGUUAUCCGGAUUUAUUGGGCGUAAAGCGAGCGCAGGCGGUCUUUUAAGUCUAAUGUGAAAGCCUUCGGCUCAACCGAAGAAGUGCAUUGGAAACUGGGAGACUUGAGUGCAGAAGAGGACAGUGGAACUCCAUUGUUAGC